AUUUCAUCAAGCAAGUUCAAGGAUAAAGACAUCAAUCGUACAUAAAUUACGAAUACUUUUUUAAACUCGUAUGUUCAAUAUACGAUACCGGUCUGUUUUCAAUAUUCUGUUCAAUUCGUUUAUGGGCAUUAAUUAAUCUUUUACCUGAAUCGGGUCGUUCGAUAGUCAAAUUCGAUAAAAUUAAAAUAAACUAUCACCUCCCGCGGCCUGUCUAACGGAUGUACCACAUUCAUUUACUGUUAGAACGUAUGGGCGUCAACGAUCGUGUUAAGAAAAAAGCAGUUUUUCGAGUUCUACACAAGAACUAAGUGUGCGAUUUUACACGAAAGAUUUCACGUGUUUCGCGGAAAAAAAUAUCAAUUCUAUCAUUUCGACUUCAUUGGCGUAAAUUUAGGAAACUCAUCAAAAUGUAAUGGAACCUUUACGUACGACGAGUAAAAUGAAAAAUUACCUAUGAAAUCGAGGAGUGAGGCAGACUGCUUACUGCACCUGUGGAAGAGUUGACGCCACGUGGCGUUACAAGAGUCGUCUUUAGACAGACAGUCGACUAGACUUUCGAUGAUCACUUUGUUGUACGGAUCCAA